rnacentral:rRNA from 1 species
GGAGAAAAGCAGGGGAUCGUAAGACCUCGCGUUAAUGGAGUGGCCGAUAUCUGAUUAGCUAGUUGGUGAGGUAAAGGCUCACCAAGGCGACGAUCAGUAGCUGGUCUGAGAGGACGACCAGCCACACUGGAACUGAGACACGGUCCAGACUCCUACGGGAGGCAGCAGUGGGGAAUUUUGGACAAUGGGCGCAAGCCUGAUCCAGCCAUUCCGCGUGAGUGAAGAAGGCCUUCGGGUUGUAAAGCUCUUUCGCAAGGGAAGAAAACUUACUCAAUAACACUGGGUGAGGCUGACGGUACCUUGAUAAGAGGCACCGGCUAACUACGUGCCAGCAGCCGCGGUAAUACGUAGGGUGCGAGCGUUAAUCGGAAUUACUGGGCGUAAAGCGUGCGCAGGCGGUUUUGUAAGUCAGAUGUGAAAGCCCCGGGCUCAACCUGGGAACUGCGUUUGAAACUACAAGGCUAG